rfam:Theobroma cacao cultivar Matina 1-6 chromosome 5, whole genome shotgun sequence.
GUCGCUUUGGCCGAGUGGUUAAGGCGUGUGCCUGCUAAGUACAUGGGUUUAUCCCGCGAGAGUUCGAAUCUCUCAGGCGACG